CGCNUUCGACGCACAUUGCGGUCCACNGAUACAAUUCCCGGACCACGCCUGGCUGAGGGUCGUUUAUAAUAUAAAAACUGCUUAUCUUUCUUAAUUGAAAAGAUUUAAGCGAAAUAAUGAAUGUUCAUCAAUAUAUUUUUUAUCUUUUUUUAAAAAGAAAAAAAAACAAUUGGUGUCAUUUGAAAUAAGUUGAAUAUAUACAUAUAUUUCAGUCACAUUUGAAUGAAAGAAAAAAAGCACAUACCACAACUUUAUUGAACGAUAAAUUCACGUAUCAAUAUAUAAAGACACUUGUAAUAUUGAUAUAUUGUGCAUUUAAAAAUUUCUGUUUGGUUGUUGUCAUUGUGUCAAUGAGUAAGUUAUACUUCAGACCGAUGAUUAUCAAUAUACCAACAGAAUUAAAUGACUUUGAAAAAAAAUAUAUCAUACAAGACUAUUUUCUUUUUUGAACGUUUUGUCUAAUUGAUACAAAUAAGUGAAUUAUUUUGUGUGUUAAUGUGUCUAUUUUUUUUUGUGACUA
rnacentral:misc_RNA from 1 species